UUAGCUGUAAGACUGAGUAUUGAAAAAAAACAGAGCUUUUGUUUGUUCUGUUUCUAUAAAUAUGGAAACAUCACUUAAAUUAUUUGAAUCUUACAGUUUGUAAGGUUACAAAUUUCAACUGAUCAUUUCUGAAAAUCAUGUCUACCUGAUUGACCUCAGCCCAUAUAAAAUCAUCAAUAAUGCAUUAAUGCACAAAGAAUCAAUAAUAACUUGGUGAUGGCAAAUUCUUUCCAGUUCGGCUUUGCACAACAAAUCAAGCUUCGAUGAGGUAGGAAGGAACUCAUGGCUUAUCUUUCUCUGCUGCUAGUAGCCUCCUUUUGCGACUUUGCGUCAUCAAUAAGCUCGUUUUAAUCAAGAGAGAUAUCUGUUUUAACAAUAGUAGUAAAACUGUAUUAGACUUCUCUCUUUAAGAAGGGAUACCGGACACAUCUUUUCCAUAAAAUCAAUAAGGAUGCUAAUCAACAACUUGCUUGAUGUGUAAAUACAUAAUGUACUACCACAAGCGCAGAGAAGGAGAGUGUGUGUGUGUGUUCUGGAUGAGGCAUGACCGCAUGUAGAUGCGUUAAGAGUGUGUCAAUAAGCGAGGAAAAUUGAAAUUGUUUUUUUUUUUUUAUAUAUAUGUUUUUAGAAAUAUAUUUCUCAGGAUGACAUGGGAUUCUACUUCUGAAUUACUUUUUGAAGACUGCAGUAUAAUUUACACUAGAUUCCUGCAUUAGUGCGUUAUAUUAAGUGGCUCCGGACGUUCCACACUGCUUAAACUGAAUAUUAUGGGGGUCGUUAUGUACGCAUUAAAAAUGUAACGUAGAAUAAAAGGAAGUUCAUGAAGCUAACUGUACCUUAUUAAUCUCCCAAAGCUUAGCAAAAUACAAAAUGCCAUGAAAUUUCUGCCGGCUUUUAAAGAAAUCGACAUGAUAUUUUAGCGAUAUUCCAAAGGUCUGAACGUGGAAUACUGGCUGUCACUUGUUGCCUGUAGCAUUGGAAUUUUGAUAAAUUCUGCUUUUUCAUGGAAUGUUCUACUAUGGGUAAGUACUCCCACCUGUCUUUCCAGAGAAAAGCAUGGAUUUCCGGAAUGUGACUAAUUCUCUGACGAUCUUCUUCGUCCUCAUGCAACACUCGGUUCAUAAGUACUUCAGACAUGUCAUAGAGCCGAAGGUCUUUGAGGUUAGUGAAGUGCUCAAUGCCUAAUGGCACAUCCAUUAGUCUACCACAACGCGCAAUAUGUAGUCUUUCAAGCUGAAGGACAGACCCUUUCUUGAAUUCAACUUUCGUCAAUCCUUCUAGCUCCGCAAGAUUUAGAAAAUUGAGUUUAGGAAAACCUCCCAACUCAAAACAUAGUAAAUCUCCAGAAAAUGCAUUCAAAAGCUUGAGCUCAACUAAAUUUGGCAAUUCUUGAAGACCCUCAACUGGACUAUCGCUUAAGCAUGCCCACCUCAAACUUAUCCUAAUCAGGUGGCGAAGCGAAGAAAUCCAUCUUGGUAAUUUUGAUAAAGGCCCUCUCAUCACUAAACGUUGUAGAAGUGGAGGAGGAACAGACAGGGACUCAAGAUCAAGAAAAUCAUUUUCCCUUUCUGAGGAUACACUCAAUGAGCGGAGGUUGCUCAUCUUCUCAAGGGAGGAGUACAUUUUAUUCCCAUCUUCUUUUUUUAGGUUGGUGAUGCCCAACUUCCUCAGUUGACUUAACUUUCCAAGCGCUUCAAUUACUCCAUUUCCUUGGUUAGCCUCUAUAAAACUAAAUUUGUGCAGAGAUUUUAGAGAUGAUAUUCCCGCAUUUGCCUUAAAACCCUUCAAAAAGUUGAAAGGUGAAAAUGGGCUAAAGGUGUAGUGGUUAAUAAAAGAAGGUAGUGUAGGUUCUGGAGCUUAAAGAUUCCAACUGGUAAUUCCGCUACAUCUGUAUGCUUGAGAUCUAAGGUCUUCAACUUCUGAAGCUUGCCAAUGGAACUCGGAAGCAAUUUUAUCUUAGUUCUCCUCAUGCCCAAAUAUCUCAAAUGGAAUAGAUUCAAGAGCUCAUUCGGAAAUAGCUCAAGAGGCUCACUUUUCAAAUCUACCACUCUUAUUCAUCUGAAAUCAGCAAAGAAGUCAUUCGGAAAAUGCGAGUCUGCAGACUUAUUCAUCUGAAAUAGAAAGAGAGAUCGAAUAUGACGAUGAGAGAAGCUAUUGUUGUCUUGUACUACUGCAUAGUCUUCAUAAUUUUGUAUCCACAAGUGUCUCAUCUAUUUUCUUGCCCAUAUCAGAAAUUACUGCACCAAACUGAGCGUCAUGAGACUUAGAAAGGAUGGUCAUGAGACUUAGAAAGGAUGAUUUCCCGCAUAAGAUCGUGAACUUGACAUCUUUUUGCCCUCCCACCUCUAUCUUUUACUACCACUUGAAGCAAGUUUCUGUUUAUGAUGAGCUCAUUUAGAUAGCUCUCAGAUACCUCUUCCACGGUCCUCCCUUCUAUUUCUUGGACAAAACCUUCAGCAAUCCAUAGCCAAAUCAGCCUCCUGCACUUAACAAAGUUACGUUCUAGAAACAGGGCUAUACACAUGAAACACGCUUUGAGAUUGUAAGGCAAAUCUGUGAAGCUCAAUGUUAGUAUUCUGUUCAUACUCUCAAGCAUGUAAUUGUUUUUUAUCUCCUCACCAAGGCUGCGGUAAAUCAUUUCCCAUUCCAUAUACUUCAAUCCUUUUGUAGCCAAAAAAACAGCAAUGGACACAAUCCCGAGUGGCAAGCCUGCACAUUUUGACAAGAUCUUUUUGGAAAGUUCCUCAAAUUCCAAAGGCGGCCAAUGAUUGCAUGAGAUCCCAACUAGUAUACUUUCAUCAAGAAUAUCUUCAAUGUCACAAGCAACUUCUCUUAAUUACUUCACCCAAACUUUUACAACUUCAGCUCUUACAAAGGCUGUCAUACUCUCAAGUUCAUUUUUGAUAAAUUUGAUUUCACCACGCACCCCUCUCUGUAGUACCUUUCUCUUGAACAAGCAAUUUGCCUAGCUUGUCAAGUAGGUUAGUCACAACAAUCUCUGCCAUCUCUCUCCUUUUCUUGAAACAAGUUUUGUGCUCCUUACUAUGAUUCAAUUCAAUGGAAGCUAAAAAAAAAUUAAACAAUUCAAUCUCAUUCCUAACUACAAAAUGCUUUCUACAGUCAAUGACUUUGUAUCUAAGUUUCAUAUUUGGAGGAUUUGAUUUCUAUAAACAAGCAAUGUUGAUUUAUAUUCAAAUACUUGACCACAUGUAGAUAAGAUAAAUCUGAGUAUUUAAGCAAUGUUCAUAGCUAGCCUAGUUUAAUCAAAUUAAUAAUAUUGUACACAAAUAAAAUAAAAUGCAAACAAUUGAAACUGCUGACUUGAUUCUAGAGUUGAACUACAUACUUAUCUGGUACCAAGAGGAGGGCUUGGAAUGAUUCUUGAACUGAACUGAGAUUAUUUCUACACCCACUAUAAGCUCAAAUUCUUGCUUCAAUUAUCAAGGAGGAAGGGUUACAAUCCAAUAAUGGCUUUAUUUUUAUUUAUUUUUUUGGUAAAGCCAAUUGUAUGGCUUUACUGAUCAUUUUGCUGUAUGUUUCUUGGC
rnacentral:lncRNA from 1 species